CCAGAAGUAGCUGCGUUGAACAGAGGUUUGCAAUGCUCAGUAUCACACUGCCAGAGAGGAAACUAAUAGCUAAUACUUCUACUUAGCACUUCAAAGAUUAAAAGAAUUAACAAACAUCUAAUUUGCAACACAUCUCCAUGGAGGGGAUGGCAGGUGAUUUCAGAUGCUUCCGACCUUCUCAGGGAGUUGCUGACAGGGGCAGAAGUGCUGUGGAAAAGGCACAAAGAGUUUGGGAACCCAUGGAAAGGUUCUCCCACUCCCUGUGUGGCACUGCCAGGUCCUACAGGAUCCCAGCCCAUGGGUGGCCCAGCUCCAGGCAUGUCCUGCCUGUGAAGUCUUGAACAGAGACUGCUACAACCUGCUGGUAAAGAUUUUAACGCCGAGCCUUCCCAGCCGCCAACUCGCUCCGGCAUCCUGCAAGUUGUUAACGAAUCGGUCGGGCAUGAAUCAUUUCCCAUGUGCUGGCUGUGGAUUUCGUCACCCAGCAGAUUCUCACAGACUUUCCUCCUCGGUCCCGAUGACAAAGAAUUACCUCCGCUACCAAAAACAAGGAGUGAAGCAAAGGUGUGUGCCGUGCAAGAGGUGAAAAGGGGAGUGGAAGGCUGUGUUAAUUUUACAACUCUGACUUCCUUAAUUACAAGACACCAGCAAUGCAGGAGGAAUCCAGCUUAAAAAGUAAACCUGGAAGGGUGUGAUGUCUUAAGGGAAUGCUGCAGAUUUAAGAUGAAAUGCCUCAUUAAAAGCCCACAGAAGUUAAUAUUUUACAGUCUCUUAUGUCGGUAAUUACUAAUGAAAUCAGAGACUCCAGACUCUGCAAGAGUCUGCGCGUAU